AGUGAACGCUGGCGGUAGGCCUAACACAUGCAAGUCGAACGGCAGCACAGUAAGAGCUUGCUCUUACGGGUGGCGAGUGGCGGACGGGUGAGGAAUACAUCGGAAUCUACUUUUUCGUGGGGGAUAACGUAGGGAAACUUACGCUAAUACCGCAUACGACCUACGGGUGAAAGCAGGGGAUCUUCGGACCUUGCGCGAUUGAAUGAGCCGAUGUCGGAUUAGCUAGUUGGCGGGGUAAAGGCCCACCAAGGCGACGAUCCGUAGCUGGUCUGAGAGGAUGAUCAGCCACACUGGAACUGAGACACGGUCCAGACUCCUACGGGAGGCAGCAGUGGGGAAUAUUGGACAAUGGGCGAAAGCCUGAUCCAGCCAUACCGCGUGGGUGAAGAAGGCCUUCGGGUUGUAAAGCCCUUUUGUUGGGAAAGAAAAGCAGCAGGUUAAUACCCCACUGUUCUGACGGUACCCAAAGAAUAAGCACCGGCUAACUUCGUG
rnacentral:rRNA from 1 species